rnacentral:rRNA from 1 species
UACGAAGGGUGCAAGCGUUGUUCGGAUUUACUGGGCGUAAAGAGCGCGUAGGCGGGAAUUCAAGUCAGGUGUGAAAUCUCGGGGCCUAACCCCGAAACUGCGCCUGAAACUGAUUUUCUUGAAUAUCGGAGAGGAAAGGGGAAUUUCACAUGUAGGGGUAAAAUCCGUAGAGAUGUGAAGGAAUGUUCGAGGCGAAAGCGCCUUUCUAGACGAUUAUUGACGCUGAGGCGCGAAAGCGUGGGGAGCAAACAGG